rnacentral:misc_RNA from 1 species
AUAUAUAUCUCUCAAUUUUAAUAAAAUUACAAUAAACGAAAAAUCCUGCAUGGCAAUCACUUAUCCAGUGAUUUGCAUAAAAACAUUAAUAAAGCAAAGCCCCAGUGUGCCUAUAUCAUCUGAAUUUCUGAAUCAUGAUUCAUUCCUGUGCCUCAUGAUUGAUGUCGUCAAGAAUCACAAUAAGCGCAACUAUGAACGCAUAAUCCAUUUUGGGAAACACUGUCACCAUGAACUUGUCCUUCCCUAACAAUAUACUUUGAGCCGUGUGCUUUUUUUGCAUCUGUGCGACGAUUGUGGCAGAGUCUUCGUCUCCUUUAUAAAUGACACAUGAUCGUUCGAAAAAACUCCCUUUCACCUUGAAAUCACACACCUUCUCUUCUGUGUUAUGUGCUAAAAAGACGUCUAACUUUGUCUUGAGAUAGAGUAUGGAAUGGGUUUUAGCACUGAAAAUCAGAUCCUUUGGGUCUGUGCUUUCUCCCCUGAAAACCUGCCAUCUGCUAUGUGCUGUCAUCGCCUUCCUUCGCAAUGUGACGAUGGUGUUUCCGGCAGCAUCAAGAAUGAGCUUCCUCUCAUGUACAAAGGUUAGGAGUAUUUCCUUAACCUGAAAAAUGAUGCUGCCAUUAAAGUCCUGGACAACAAAGUUGCCAUUGGCUAGAGUCAAAACCUUUCUGACAAUCGCUAGAUCAAUAGGGUAAGGGAGGCAGUAUCGAGGAUCGAUGAUCGCAAACGGUGCUGCGCUUGGCUGUGUCAUGUAGAAAAGAGAAAAAUAUAUAGCAAUCUAGGGAUAAUUAGAUUUCUUCGGCGUUGAUUCUGGGUUACGCGUAUAUCUUAUAAGAACUCAAGGCUCUCAUCGUGGCCUUAUAUACAGAAUUG